rnacentral:RNase_P_RNA from 1 species
GAGUCGGCCAGGCAAUCGCUGCGCGAUUCAUCGCGCGGAGGAAAGUCCGGGCUCCUUCGGACAGGGCGCCAGGUAACGCCUGGGGGGCGCGAGCCCACGGAAAGUGCCACAGAAAACAGACCGCCCGGUUCCUCGUUCGCGAGGCGCCGGGUAAGGGUGAAAAGGUGCGGUAAGAGCGCACCGCGCGACCGGUAACGGCUCGCGGCACGGUAAACCCCGCCCGGAGCAAGACCAAAUAGGGGAGCAAGCGGAUUCGUCCGCGCCGCCGGUCCCGAGCGGGCUCCCGGGUAGGUUGCUCGAAGUGGCCGGUGACGGCCAUUCCAGAUGAAUGAUUGCCCUCGACAGAACCCGGCUUACGGCCGGC